GGGGGUGUCAUGGUUUCGACAGGUGUUGUUCGAACCUUGGAUGCGUCAGGUAGGCAGCGACUACCUCAACAACGCUACAGUUAAAUAUAACUGCAAACAAUAAUAACAAUUUAGCUUUAGCUGCCUAAAAACAGCUUGCUAAGAUCAGCCUAGCAUCGCCCAUGUGUUAGUUCCUGGUCUCAAUUUAGUGGGAUACGCUAAGUCUUUCCGUCUGUAAGCCUUAGAAGAGAUAAUCAGACUCGCAAACACAAACGCCUGUUGGUCGGCUAUGUGGAAGCUAAAUAACAAUAGACGCAACUAUUGACGUAGAUUCUUUGGUGGCGAGACAUUUGGACAGGGGUUCGACUCCCCUCAUCUCCAUUA
rnacentral:tmRNA from 1 species